rnacentral:tRNA from 1 species
GGAGAGAUGGCCGAGCGGAUGAAGGCGCACGCCUGGAGAGCGUGUGGGCGGGUAACCGCCUCGUGGGUUCGAAUCCCACUCUCUCCGCCA